rnacentral:misc_RNA from 1 species
UUUUUGCGUUAGGGAUUGUAGAGUAAAGCCCACAGCCCGACGCAGGAGGAGCGAGGACUUGAAACGUAAAGCCCGACCCCUU